rnacentral:rRNA from 1 species
GAUGAACGCUGGCGGCGUGCUUAACACAUGCAAGCCGAACGAAGCUGCUUAACUGAUCUUCUUCGGAAUUGAUGUUUUGUAGACUGAGUGGCGGACGGGUGAGUAACGCGUGGGUAACCUACCCUGUACAGGGGGAUAACAGUCAGAAAUGACUGCUAAUACCGCAUAAGACCACAGCACCGCAUGGUGCAGGGGUAAAAGCUCCGGUGGUACAGGAUGGACCCGCGUCUGAUUAGCUGGUUGGUGAGGUAACGGCUCACCAAGGCGACGAUCAGUAGCCGGCUUGAGAGAGUGAACGGCCACAUUGGGACUGAGACACGGCCCAAACUCCUACGGGAGGCAGCAGUGGGGAAUAUUGCACAAUGGGGGAAACCCUGAUGCAGCGACGCCGCGUGAGUGAAGAAGUAUCUCGGUAUGUAAAGCUCUAUCAGCAGGGAAGAAAAUGACGGUACCUGACUAAGAAG